rnacentral:sRNA from 1 species
UGGGCUGGUCGUAAGACCCGGGUCCACCAACUGGCGGGUAAGACACCC